GGAGGUGAGGGCACACUGUCUGACCUCCCCUCACUGAGGACCUUGGUCCUGACACACUGGGUGACACCUGGGAGGUGAGGGCACACUCUCUGACAUCCCCUCACUGAGGACUUUGGUCCUGACACACUGAGUGACACCUGGGAGGUGAGGGCACACUCUCUGACCUCCCCUCACUGAGGACCUUGGUUCUGACACACUGGGCUCACAACUGGGAGAUGAGGGCACACUCUCUUACCUCCCCUCACUGAAGACCUUGGUUCUGACACACAUAUCUGACACCUAGGAGGUGAGGGCACACUCUAUGACCUCCCCUCACUGAGGACCUUGGUCCUGACACACUGGGCUGUCACCAGGGAGGUGAGGACACACUCUCUGACCUCCCCUCACUGAUGACCUUGGUCCUGACACACUGGGUGAAACCUGGAAGGUGAGGGCACACUCUCUGACCUCCACUCACUGAGGACCUUGGUCCUUACACACUGGGCUGUCACCUGGGAGGUGAGGACACACUCU
rnacentral:lncRNA from 1 species